GAAGACAGUUAAGAGAGGAAAUGGGGGAGGCAGAAGGGCAGAGCGAGGCGGCAUGGUGUCGUGGAGGAGCAGAAUGAGAAAGAACACGAGUUGAAAGGCGAUAUGAAAGGAGAGGCAAGACAGAGAGAUACAGCAGGAAUAAAUUAAUAUCUUUAAAACACCAGACGAGAGCACAAGAAGAAAAACAUCGUCAGGGACAGAGAAAAAAAGGAAAUAUGAAAAGAAUAGAAGGUCAGGGUGCAUGCUUGCAUCUCAAGAAAUACAAGGGAAAAGAGAGAGCUUACAGUAGAGAUGUCUGCCUCUGGCAGGGACACUGGGUACCAGUGACUCCUGGACUGCAGGAUCCAGAUCCAGUUGACCACCAACCCCUGAGCCAGCAAUGUAGCGCUACCUUAGACUUCAUUUGGGGCUGA